rnacentral:rRNA from 1 species
GACGAACGCUGGCGGCGUGCUUAACACAUGCAAGUCGAACGGAAAGGCCUCUUUCGGGGGGUACUCGAGUGGCGAAUGGGUGAGUAACACGUGAGUAACCUGCCCUUGACUUUGGGAUAACUUCAGGAAACUGGGGCUAAUACCGGAUAGGAGCUCCUGCUGCAUGGUGGGGGUUGGAAAGUUUCGGCGGUUGGGGAUGGACUCGCGGCUUAUCAGCUUGUUGGUGGGGUAGUGGCUUACCAAGGCUUUGACGGGUAGCCGGCCUGAGAGGGUGACCGGCCACAUUGGGACUGAGAUACGGCCCAGACUCCUACGGGAGGCAGCAGUGGGGAAUAUUGCACAAUGGGUGGAAGCCUGAUGCAGCAACGCCGUGUGCGGGAUGACGGCCUUCGGGUUGUAAACCGCUUUCGCUCAUGACGAAGCUUUGUGUGACGGUAGUGGGUAAAGAAGCACCGGCUAACUACGUG